rnacentral:rRNA from 1 species
UACAGAGGGGCAAGCGUUGUCCGGAUUUAUUGGGCGUAAAGAGCGUGUAGGCGGCUAGGUAGGUCCGCUGUGAAAACUUGAGGCUCAACCUCAAGAGGUCGGUGGAAACCAUCUGGCUAGAGUCCGGAAGAGGAGAGUGGAAUUCCCGGUGUAGCGGUGAAAUGCGCAGAUAUCAGGAAGAACACCCGUGGCGAAGGCGGCGUCCUCUGGAACGCAACUGACGCUGAGGAGCGAAAGCGUGGGGAGCGAACAGG